GACGAACGCUGGCGGCGUGCCUAAUACAUGCAAGUCGAGCGGACUUGUGGGAGCUUGCUCCCGCAAGUUAGCGGCGGACGGGUGAGUAACACGUGGGCAACCUGCCUAUAAGACUGGGAUAACUUCGGGAAACCGGAGCUAAUACCGGAUAGUUCUUUCCUCCUCAUGGAGGAAAGGGGAAAGAUGGUUUCGGCUAUCACUUAUAGAUGGGCCCGCGGCGCAUUAGCUAGUUGGUGAGGUAACGGCUCACCAAGGCGACGAUGCGUAGCCGACCUGAGAGGGUGAUCGGCCACACUGGGACUGAGACACGGCCCAGACUCCUACGGGAGGCAGCAGUAGGGAAUCUUCCGCAAUGGACGAAAGUCUGACGGAGCAACGCCGCGUGAACGAAGAAGGCCUUCGGGUCGUAAAGUUCUGUUGUUAGGGAAGAACAAGUGCGAGAGUAACUGCUCGCACCUUGACGGUACCUAACCAGAAAGCCACGGCUAACUACGUGCCAGCAGCCGCAGU
rnacentral:rRNA from 1 species